rnacentral:snoRNA from 1 species
CACAGUUUGUCUACACUCUGGAUCUCAGCCAGGGAUUUCAGUGGGUUUUGUUCAAUGUGGAACGUUUCGACAAGUACACGUUGGGCUGGCCCGUGAAUCUCUAAUUCUAACUCCGUGUUGAGCUCCAAUUUAAUAGCAAACAAGAUUUAUUCUGUCAAUUACUCACCAAGAUAUAUCGAGCAGAGGGGUGUUCUCAGAAUUCCUCUCGCAGUGGUUAUAUUGGUCCAUUUCAAUGACAAACAU